CAAUAGCGUAUAUUAAAGUUGUUGCGGUUAAAAAAGCUCGUAGUUGGAUUUCUGCCGAGGACGACCGGUCCGCCCUCUGGGUGAGCAUCUGGUUCGACCUGGGCAUCUUCUUGGAGAACGUUCCUGCACUUGAUUGGGUGGGGCGGUAUCCAGGACUUUACUUUGAUGGAAAGAUUAGAGUGUUUCAAGCAGGCACACGCCUUGAAUACAUUAGCAUGGAAUAAUAAGAUAGGACCUCGGUUCUAUUUUGUUGGUUUCUAGAGCUGAGGUAAUGAUUAAGAGGGACAGUUGGGGCGAUUCGUAUUUAAUGUCAGAGGUGAAAUUCUUGGAUUUAUGAAAGACGAACUAGUGCGAAAGCAUUUGCCAAGGAUGUUUUCAUUAAUCAAGAACGAAAGUUAGGGGUUCGAAGACGAUUAGAUACC
rnacentral:rRNA from 1 species